UACGUAGGGGGCUAGCGUUGUCCGGAAUCAUUGGGCGUAAAGCGCGCGUAGGCGGCCAGAUAAGUCCGGUGUGAAAGCCACAGGCUCAACCUGUGAAUGCCGCUGGAAACUGUCUGGCUAGAGUCCGGGGAGGGGCGAGUGGAAUUCCUGGUGUAGCGGUGAAAUGCGCAGAUAUCAGGAGGAACACCAAUGGCGAAGGCGCUCGCUGGAACGGAACUGACGCUGAG
rnacentral:rRNA from 1 species